rnacentral:rRNA from 1 species
UACGUAGGGGCCUAGCGUUGUCCGGAUUUAUUGGGCGUAAAGAGCUCGUAGGCGGUCUGUCGCGUCGGCUGUGAAAACUCGGGGCUCAACCCCGAGCCUGCAGUCGAUACGGGCAGACUAGAGUGCUGUAGGGGAGACUGGAAUUCCUGGUGUAGCGGUGAAAUGCGCAGAUAUCAGGAGGAACACCGGUGGCGAAGGCGGGUCUCUGGGCAGUAACUGACGCUGAGGAGCGAAAGCGUGGGGAGCGAACAGG